rnacentral:rRNA from 1 species
AACGAACGCUGGCGGCAGGCCUAACACAUGCAAGUCGAACGGGAUCUUCGGAUCUAGUGGCGGACGGGUGAGUAACGCGUGGGAACGUGCCCUUUGGUUCGGAAUAGCCCUGGGAAACUGGGAGUAAUACCGGAUGAGCCCUUCGGGGGAAAGAUUUAUCGCCAAAGGAUCGGCCCGCGUUGGAUUAGGUAGUUGGUGGGGUAAUGGCCUACCAAGCCGACGAUCCAUAGCUGGUUUGAGAGGAUGAUCAGCCACACUGGGACUGAGACACGGCCCAGACUCCUACGGGAGGCAGCAGUGGGGAAUCUUAGACAAUGGGGGAAACCCUGAUCUAGCCAUGCCGCGUGAGCGAUGAAGGCCUUAGGGUUGUAAAGCUCUUUCGUGGGGGAAGAUAAUGACUGUACCCCAAGAAGAAGCCCCGGCUAACUCCGUGCCAGCCGCCGCCGUAACAC